rnacentral:rRNA from 1 species
UGGGGAAUAUUGCACAAUGGAGGAAACUCUGAUGCAGCGACGCCGCGUGAGUGAAGAAGUAAUUCGUUAUGUAAAGCUCUAUCAGCAGGGAAGAUAGUGACGGUACCUGACUAAGAAGCUCCGGCUAAAUACGUGCCAGCAGCCGCGGUAAUACGUAUGGAGCAAGCGUUAUCCGGAUUUACUGGGUGUAAAGGGAGUGUAGGUGGCCAUACAAGUCAGAAGUGAAAGCCCGGGGCUCAACCCCGGGACUGCUUUUGAAACUGUAAGGCUUGAGUGCAGGAGGGGUGAGUGGAAUUCCUAGUGUAGCGGUGAAAUGCGUAGAUAUUAGGAGGAACACCAGUGGCGAAGGCGGCUCACUGGACUGUAACUGACACUGAGGCUCGAAAGCGUGGGGAGCAAACAGG